GCAUGAUUACAAUUCUAAUUUUAAACAGCCAACGACGUUUCAUUGUAAGGGUCCGACCAUUUAACUUUUUUUCCUAUCCCAUCACCCUGUACGAUUCUUUUUUGCCACUCUCUCUUUCGCAGCAUUUUUUUUCAAUAGCUUAUUUAUUUACUAUUUGGAUUCCGUUUAAUUAUAGUUAACGUUGAGUUUUUUAGCUUCAUGCAUUGCUUUUAAUAAUACAUAUUGCUAUGAGGUAUAACAUUUGGUUCAGGGCCUCUUUUAAGGAUGUGUAACCUGUAGAGAAGUCUGGGGGCAUGCCCCCAGAAAAUUUA